rnacentral:rRNA from 1 species
CCCUUAGAUGCUCUGGGCUGCACGCGCGCUACACUGAUGCAUCCAACAAGUUUUUUCCUUGUUCGAGAGGACUAGGUAAUCUUAUGAGAAUGCAUCGUGAUGGGGAUAGAUUAUUGCAAUUAUUAAUCUUCAACGAGGAAUUCCUAGUAAGCGCGAGUCAUCAGCUCGUGCUGAUUACGUCCCUGCCCUUUGUACACACCGCCCGUCGCUGCAACUGAUUGGGUGACCUGGUGAACAUCUUGGACCGGCCCACUCAAUUUCGAGAGGACUGGAAAAGGCCGUAAAUCAGGUACAUCUAGAAAUUGCAAAAGUCGUAACA